AUCCACCAGCGCUACCAUCUCCCACCUCCUCUCCCUCCUCCAGUCCUCCUUCCUGCCUGUUCACUCCAUGCCAGCCCCCCGAUGCCAGCUGCUCUAUUGUACUUUUCAAGGGCCAGAGGCCGUCCCCGAAGCUCUUUCCAAGCAUCCCUAAUAUAUCAGGAGGGACAGAGGGGCCAGUUCAAGCAGGCAGCCGACAACACCAAGUCUUAGCUGUAGCAAAACAGAAAACUGAAGUCUGACAACGAAGCCUGCGCCCAGCCCAACCAUAAACGUGUUGUCCCUGAGCACCAGCUGGAGCCCGCCAAGACCCUGGAGGGAGGGGAUAAGGAAGGUCGCACCCACGGGGACAGAAGUCCUCCAGGGUGAAGAAACUCAAAUUAAGAGAGCUGAAGUAACUGUUUCAUGGCUCCACAGACAGUAAAUGGCAGUGUCAUGUCAGGAUCAAACCUGUACCAUUCCUGUCCCCACUGUUCACUUCAGCAAGUCAC